rnacentral:misc_RNA from 1 species
GAUAAUGUGGUGAUGACAACACUUAUUAAAGUGGAGGGAAAAUCUAAGUCGGGUAGUCUUCUUGAAAUAAAAAGACCAAAACACUGCCAUUUAAACCAUCUCCCUAUACAAACUAUUGUUGUUUUUUGAGAGCCACAAGCCCACUCUUUCCUUCUGCAUUUUCUCUCACUUUUUCCUUCAUUCAAACAUCACCUAUAAUUUCUAUCCUACUCCUUCAAACUUUACAAUACUCACCACACACAUUUCUAAAGAAGAUGCUUUUACGUAUCAAAGGAGGAAGUAUAGAAAGAAAAAGAGAGUAGUUAGAAAUGUUGGGAAUUAGUUUAAAGAGUUAGCUUGGGAGUAUGUUUGGCGGGAACUAAGAGACAGGUAGUUAAUAAAGUUGCUGAGCUGUAAAGUUGUUGAGCUAUGUAACUACUCUUAGUAAUAAGUUGUUACUAAGCUGCUAAAUCUCUCCUCCUAUCUCUCCUCCUAAUAUUCUUCUCUUCUUUUCUAAAUCUU